CCUACGGGAGGCAGCAGUAAGGAAUAUUGGUCAAUGGAGGCAACUCUGAACCAGCCAUGCCGCGUGCAGGAAGACGGCCCUAUGGGUUGUAAACUGCUUUUGAACUAGAGAAAACCUUGGUACGUGUACCGAGUUGAUAGUAUAGUUAGAAUAAGCAUCGGCUAACUUCGUGCCAGCAGCCGCGGUAAGACGAAGGAUGCAAGCGUUAUCCGGAUUCAUUGGGUUUAAAGGGUGCGUAGGCGGACUGAUAAGUCAGUGGUGAAAUCUCUCAGCUUAACUGAGAAACUGCCAUUGAUACUGUUAGUCUAGAGUACAGAUGAUGUGGGCGGAAUAUGACAUGUAGUGGUGAAAUACUUAGAUAUGUCAUAGAACACCGAUUGCGAAGGCAGCUCACAAAACUGUAACUGACGCUGAGGCACGAAAGUGCGGGGAUCAAACAGGAUUAGAUACCCUGGUAGUCCGCACCGUAAACGAUGAUUACUCGUUGUUGGCGAUAUGACAGUCAGCGACCGAACGACGAACGACGAGUAAGUAACGUACCGUACCCGUCGGGGUAGGUACGGUCCCGGCCGACCGGUACGGUAACCGUACGAAACGGAAAGUUAGGUUACGGACGUUGGAGGACGUUCGGACCGACGGACGACGACGAGGGAGGUAGGGAG
rnacentral:rRNA from 1 species